rnacentral:rRNA from 1 species
CAGUAGCCGCGGUAAUACAGAGGGUGCGAGCGUUAAUCGGAUUUACUGGGCGUAAAGCGUGCGUAGGCGGCUUCUUAAGUCGGAUGUGAAAUCCCUGAGCUUAACUUAGGAAUUGCAUUCGAUACUGGGAAGCUAGAGUAUGGGAGAGGAUGGUAGAAUUCCAGGUGUAGCGGUGAAAUGCGUAGAGAUCUGGAGGAAUACCGAUGGCGAAGGCAGCCAUCUGGCCUAAUACUGACGCUGAGGUACGAAAGCAUGGGGAGCAAACAGGAUUAGAUACCCGAGUAGUCCCUGUCUUUUAUAC